rnacentral:rRNA from 1 species
AAUAGAUACCCUGGUAGUCCACGCCGUAAACGAUGUCGACUUGGAGGUUGUGCCCUUGAGGCGUGGCUUCCGGAGCUAACGCGUUAAGUCGACCGCCUGGGGAGUACGGCCGCAAGGUUAAAACUCAAAUGAAUUGACGGGGGCCCGCACAAGCGGUGGAGCAUGUGGUUUAAUUCGAUGCAACGCGAAGAACCUUACCUACUCUUGACAUCCAGAGAACUUAGCAGAGAUGCUUUGGUGCCUUCGGGAACUCUGAGACAGGUGCUGCAUGGCUGUCGUCAGCUCGUGUUGUGAAAUGUUGGGUUAAGUCCCGCAACGAGCGCAACCCUUAUCCUUUGUUGCCAGCGAUUCGGUCGGGAACUCAAAGGAGACUGCCAGUGAUAAACUGGAGGAAGGUGGGGAUGACGUCAAGUCAUCAUGGCCCUUACGAGUAGGGCUACACACGUGCUACAAUGGCAUAUACAAAGAGAAGCGACCUCGCGAGAGCAAGCGGACCUCAUAAAGUAUGUCGUAGUCCGGAUUGG